rnacentral:rRNA from 1 species
CCUACGGGAGGCAGCAGUGGGGGAUAUUGCACAAUGGGGGAAACCCUGAUGCAGCGACGCCGCGUGAGGGAAGACGGUUCUCUGAUUUUAAACCUCUUUCUUUGGGGGCGAAUUGAAACGGUACCCAAGGAUGAAGCUCCGGCUAACUACGUGCCAGCAGCCGCGGUACUACGUGGGGAGCGAGCGUUUUCCGGAAUUACUGGGUGUAACGGGAGCGUAGGCGGGAUAGUAAGUUGAUGGUUAAAACUAGCGGCUCAACUGGUGGAUGCGAUCGAAACAGCAAGUCUUGAGUGAAGUAGAGGCAGGCGGAAUUCCUGGUGUAGCGGUGAAAUGCAUAGAUAUUAGGAGGAACGCC